GAUGAACGCUAGCGGCAGGCUUAAUACAUGCAAGUCGAGGGGCAGCAUGAUUGUAGCAAUACAAUUGAUGGCGACCGGCAAACGGGUGCGGAACACGUACACAACCUUCCAAUAAGUGGGGAAUAGCCCAGAGAAAUUUGGAUUAAUACCCCGUAACAUAACGAUGUGGCAUCACAUUGUUAUUAUAGAUUUUUCGCUUAUUGAUGGGUGUGCGGCUGAUUAGAUAGUUGGCGGGGUAACGGCCCACCAAAUCUACGAUCAGUAGCUGAUGUGAGAGCAUGAUCAGCCACACGGGAACUGAGACACGGGCCCGACUCCUACGGGAGGCAGCAGUAAGGAAUAUUGGACAAUGGACGCAAGUCUGAUCCAGCCAUGCCGCGUGAAGGAUUAAGGUCCUCUGGAUUGUAAACUUCUUUUAUAAGGGACGAAAAAAGGCUUUUCUAAGUCGUCUGACGGUACCUUAUGAAUAAGCACCGGCUAACUCCGUGCCAGCCGCCGCAGUAAUAC
rnacentral:rRNA from 1 species